rnacentral:rRNA from 1 species
UACGUAGGGGGCAAGCGUUGUCCGGAAUUAUUGGGCGUAAAGCGCGCGCAGGCGGCCUUGUAAGUCUGUCGUUUAAACUCGGAGCUCAACUUCGAGUCGCGAUGGAAACUGCAAAGCUUGAGUGCAGAAGAGGAAAGCGGAAUUCCCGGUGUAGUGGUGAAAUGCGUAGAUAUCGGGAGGAACACCAGUGGCGAAGGCGGCUUUCUGGCCUGUUCUUGACGCUGAGGCGCGAAAGCUAGGGGAGCAAACGGG